ensembl:lncRNA
AUUCACGCCAAAUUCUAACUCCCUGUACCCCUAAAUGACUCCUUUGGGUUUUCUAUUUGAAGCCUACACAGAAAAAUAAAAGACUAAAAUAAAGAUUACUGUAGUCUUAACCAUUAAAAUAUGCCAACUGGUGUCUUUUAAAUCUCAGUAUGCACUCUUACACCCCCAAGAUGUUGGUUAAAAACCACAUCAUCUGGAAAAAAUAUUGUUCCAUGGGUCAUAAACUACAAGCAGACUAUAAUGUUGGGCUUCUGUAGGAGGUGUCAUGAGCUGCGAUUUUGUUUCCCCCUCCAGUCCUGUUAAAAAACCAAGUGAAACAGGCUGGAACUACGGGUAGUUAUGAGAACAAAGCUGUCGUGGCUCUCUGAAUGACGCAAGCAGGACGAUUGGAGUUGGAACCAUUAUGGCCUAAUACUAAGAGGGCUGAUGGGUAUGAUGCAGGAGUGAUUCUGGCACACAGGGUGACGGAGCGGCUGCCAGAGACUCAUCAUGCUGCCAACCGGACCAAAACCACUCUAGCCCGGUGCACCAAGAGUGACCUUCAAACGGGAAAGCUGACUAAUAUCCACACAAUGGAGUGAGUGUAAGGAACCAACUUUUCACCAUCCCAAGCAAUUCCCAAUAUCCUGCUGCAAUCACAAAUACAUCACAUUGUGGAAGUGAAAUGCAUUGCAGAUGCCUUUUCUUGUUGCCUUCAAUAAAAACUGUUAUAAAUUAGUAUCCCAAGGUCUGCAGUAUUUUUAUAUCCUGACAAUGCUGGAAUUGUAACAUCUUACUGCAGUUGCCAUUUUUUCCACAUGAUAACAUCAUUUGCUUUACAAAUAGUCUCGAAAUCACUAAUAACACAGUCUUUCCAUCUUUUAUAUGUGCUAGAAAGUCUCAUCAUCAUUGAAUCCGCUGUGAUGUCUAUGAACUGCAACAGCAAACCCUCCAGAAGCUCUUACCAGACCUGUGCUAAAGUCAAAUCUGGCUUUUGGUACAGUAGAUCCAAAACAAAGGUCCCAUUAAUGUUCCCAUUUAGACAUGCGGCUCAGGGUUCCAGACAAACAGAAAUGUGCAAGUCGUGUUUCCCCACACGAGGAGGUUAUGCUGGGUUAUUUGUUUCGCUAACACUAAUUAGCAGCUACUGUACAUAUAUUGCAAGGUUAAAGGAUUAAUUCACCCAAAAGUGAAAAUGCUGUGUAUUUAGUCUCUCUUAUGGUGUUCCAAAUCUGUAUACAGUUUUUUAUUUCUUUUUUUCUGUGGAUAAUAAAAGGAGAAUUUCUGAAGAAUCUUUAUGCAGUUUAUUCAUACAGUGGACUUUCAGAGAUGAAUGCCUGUCAAGCUCCAAAAAGAACAGAAACUAGUUUAUUUACUUGAAAAUAACAGCCUAGAUUUCAAUAUGUAUGAUUAUAUAAGAUAUUGAAUAUAGUGCAUGAAUC